CCCUUCAGCUCUACUGUUAUCUACGACCAAUCUUGGGCAUUGAGGAACCUAGAGCAUUGGACUCAUUGGCAUACCAGAGACAGGGCUGGUCCUUUGGCUCUUACCACCAGGUCCUCAAAGGAGUGUAUAUAGACUCACCAAUGGUGAAGAGCAGGAGAGGGAACAGGUGAAGAGUAAGAGGGAACCCCGUUUCCAGUGUGUCCCAUCAUCAUACAUCAGAGAGAGAAGA